rnacentral:pre_miRNA from 1 species
AAGUCGCAGACUGGGAAAUCUCUGCAGGCAAAUGUGAUGUCUUCAUAGCAAUCUCACAAUUACCUGUAGAGAUUCUACAAUCUGGCAUC